rnacentral:lncRNA from 1 species
UCAGGGUCCCCUCUGCAACGGAGACCUGCCCCGCUCACCCCACCAGCGUCCCUUGGCCUCCAAAGUCCCCGUGCCAGAGGGGACAGCAAUCCACGAUGUCACAGCCCAGUGCUCCUGAUGUCCCCUUGGCCUCCAAAAUCUCUGUCCCUGUGCUGAAGAGGACAGCAACCCCCAGGUGUGGGCAGAGCCCAAACACCACCUGAUGCCCCCUUGGCCUCCAGAACCCCCCUGUGCCCCUGUCCCCACACCAGAGGGGACAGCCCUCAAUGUCACAGCCCUAAUGCUCCUGAUGUCCUCUUGUCCUCCAAAAUCUCUGUCCCUGUGCUGAGGGGACAGUAACCCCCAGGUGUGGACACUGCCUGAUGUCCCCUGGGCCUCCAAAACUGCUGUGCCCCUGUCCCCAUGCCAGAGGGGACAGUCCACAGUGCCACAGCCCUAACACUCCGGAUGUCCCCAUUCUCCACCCUCCCUGUGCCCCUGUCCCCGUGCCAGAGGGGACAGUAAUCCACAAUGUCACAGCCCCAGUGCUCCUGAUGCCCUCUUGGCCCCCAAAACCGCUGUGCCCCUGUCCCUGUGCCAGAGGGGACAACCCACAGUGCCACAGACGUGGGCACAGCCCCAACACCUCCUGAUGUCCCCUUUCCCCCUCCCCACCGUGUCCCCGGCGGUGGCAGAUGGCAGCAGGAGGAGGAGGAGGAGGGUGGUGGCACCGUCCCCGGGCCCUGCUGUGUGACCAUGUGUGAGCGGUGGCACCGCCAGCGCUGUCCUGCUCCUUGGGGCUGUCCCCACCCCAGGGUCUGCCCGGUCCCGGCAGCUCCCUGGAACAGCCUUAAAAUGUAGGGAAAUGUUAACGGGGGCGGGAUUGAAGCUGGUCAGAUUUUAUGCCUCAUUAUAAUAUAAAGGUUUUAGGUGCCAUUUUUGGGGUGACAUUUUUUGGCUGUAGUUCUUGUGGGUGUCAUUUUUAGGUGCCAUUUUUGGGGGUGUCAUUUUUUGGGUGUCAUUUUUUAGGUGUAGUUUCUUUGGGUGUCAUUUUUUAGUUGUAGUUUUUGUAGGUGCCAUUUUUCAGGAGCCAUUUUUGGGUGUAGUUUUUUUGGGUAUCAUUUUUUGGGUGUCAUUUUUCGGUGUCAUUUUUAGGUGUCAUUUUUUUAGUGUUAUUUUUUGGGUGUCAUUUUUAGGUGCCAUUUUUGGGGGGUGUCAUUUUUUAGCUGUAGGUUUUUUGGGUGUCAUUUUUAGGUGCCGUUUUUGGGGAUGUCAUUUUUUGGGUGUCUAUUUUAGGUGCAGUUUUUUGGGGUGUAGUAUUCUGGGUGUCAUUUUUAGGUGUCAUUUUUGGGGGUGUCCUUUUUUGUGUGUAGUUUCUUGGGUGUAAUUUUUAGGAGCCAUUUUUGGGUGUAGUUUUUUGGGUGUCAUUUUUUAGGUGUAGGUUUUUUUGGUGUCAUUUUUAGGCACCAUUUUUGGGGUGUCAUUUUUGUGUGUCGUUUUUUUGGGUAUAAUUUUUUUGGUGUAGUUUUUUGGGUGUCAUUUUUAGGUGCCAUUUUUGGGUG